UACGUAGGUGGCAGGCGUUGUCCGGAUUUACUGGGCGUAAAGAGCGCGCAGGCGGUCGUUCAAGUCGCGUGUGAAAGCCCCCGGCUCAACUGGGGAGGGUCACGCGAUACUGAUCGACUCGAAGGCAGGAGAGGGAAGUGGAAUUCCCGGUGUAGUGGUGAAAUGCGUAGAUAUCGGGAGGAACACCAGUGGCGAAGGCGACUUCCUGGCCUGUUCUUGACGCUGAGGCGCGAAAGCUAGGGGAGCAAACGGG
rnacentral:rRNA from 1 species